rnacentral:tRNA from 1 species
GGGGAUGUAGCGCUAAUUGGUAGAGCAGCGGACUUCUAAUCUGAUGGUUAUGGGUUCGAAUCCCAUUAUCUCCACCA